CACGCCUGGCCAGGCAUAAACCAUGAAUUUUUGAAAAAAAUAUUUUUCCCUACUUCUAUGUAGCUAUGUAAACCAUGUCUUUUUUAUUGACAUAAACCAAAAAUAUAAUCAGCAUGUUACCUCUCCGUUAUAAACAAAUAUGAUUUGUUUUUUCUUUUCAUUUUGCACAAGUCUUUAAAUAAACGUAUUCAGAAUAUGAAAAACCUAAAGAAAGAGAAGAUGAAAUUUAAUAAGCGGUUCGCAAAGCCUUCUCCUAUUCCAGAACCAGGGCUCCUAUGGACAUAAAGCUGGAGCCUGUAUGGAAGAAAUCAUGUGCCAGGCCGACAUCUGAUACCACGUGGCAUUUCCAGAUUUCACUCCAUAUGGAAAAUAAAGGCAAUAGUCUGCCCUUUCUGCAAAAUAAACACAAUGCAACCAUUUCACAUCUAAGCCACAGGCUCUAGAAUUUUAAUAAAUAGGAUAUCUCUCUACCAGUUA